rnacentral:lncRNA from 1 species
UGAUUUUGGAAGAUAAUUCUACUCUCUGGAUUAUCUUUUUGAGAGUGUAUCCAUGUAUUAACACUAAAGAAUAAAGGUCCUUCAUUAAAGCCAUGAACAACAAUCUGCACCAAGUGUAUCUCUUUGUCAAGGAGAUUGGUAAUAAUGAUAGCGCCAGGACGUCCAAAAUUGUGUGGUACAGUGAAAUUUGCAGCAUAUUCAACUAUAUGUGGAUGAUCAGAAGGCUUGGACAACCAACCCCUCACAUAAGACUCCGCAAACUUUCCCGAUUUGGUAACUGUGAGCAGAAUAUAGUUUUAGUACUUCAUUAACCUCAGAAUACUACUCUGAAGUGUCCAGUGGAAAUGAUGUUUAUGUCGUAUGCAUCCACCAGUCACAAUAAACGGAAUCAUUAUGAACUAAGUUUGCAACAUACUGUGUUGGCAACCAAGUCUUUCACAACAUGAAACAAGAUAAAUGAACUAAAAGGCACCCAGAAAUACUAAAAAGUAGGAAAGAUAAUACAGUUGAGAACAAAAGGCACAAAAAGAAUAGAUGAUGACAAUGUAUAUCUGCACUAGGUGGUCUUUUCCACUUUCCACCAAACCAUAUGUAUAAUAAUUAACCAUAGCUAACUAAUCUAUAAGUUUAUGUGCUAACUCAUUUCAUACAGUUAUAAGUCAGGUGUACACACCAUGUACUAAUAAGUUUUUCCUUCAUUUUGCUCCCACAAAAAUAACAACAUACCCAGUGAAUCCCCCAAAAAAAGGUUAUGGGGAGGGUAAAGUGUACACAGUCCUUACCACUACCUCUCCGAAGUAGAGAGAUUGUUUCCGAAAGACCUCUGCUCAAGCAACUCAAAGCAGUAAUAAAAAAAGGCAGUGGGGGUUUUAAAUAAUUUUUAAAAAGAUAGAUGGUCUUUCGAGAACAACCUCUCUAUUUCCAAGAGGUAGUGAUAAGGUCUGCGCACACUCUACCCUCCCCAGACUCCACUGAUUGGGAUUUCAUUGGGUAUGUUUUUGUUGUAGAGGGUCUUUCGGAAACAGACUCUCUACCUCCACAAAUAAUGUAUGGUAAAGUCUUCGUACACUAAACCUCCCCCCCAGAGCUCACUUGUGAAAGGAGGAGGGGUGGGGGGUGGGGGGGUUUCAAGCAAGUCAAUGAACCAUAUUGAACUCAAGACAGCAAAAAUGAAAAUGAAAACAGAUCAAAGAAAAAACAUUAACUAUAGAACUCAACUGGUACAAUAAUAAACUCAUGAAGUUUGUAAAGGGAAUGUCUGAGCUUGACAAUGUAGCCGCAAUUAAUGGUACCAGGUUAUGUAACAGAGCUUUCAACCUUCCAGCAGAAAAAGUAUUUUGCUUAAUUUCUUCAAAAGUUUCGUCUCUAGGGACGUAAACUGGAUGAGGUUUCUCUAUUCUUCUUUCUGCAAGUGGAUCUUUCAGCAUCCAAAGAUCAAGAAAAAGUCGGUAUAAGAAUGUCGGGGCAACAAACUAAAUGAAAAAUAUACUCUUCAGCAGAAUGCUCAGUACCUUUCUUAGUUGGACCUCUACCAGUUCGACAGCGCCUAGGAUAAGGUUUCUCUUUGCCACCUACCAGUGGCCUAGCAAGAUCCUCACUUUUGUCAGGAUUGCCUAAAUCAUUAUAAACAUCAUAAUCAUAGAUUCGUUCAUGUAGCUUCCUUUCGCCUUUACCAUUGCCACGAAUGCUCAACAAGUCUUCACGUCGAAGAUCCUUGAUACCAGGUGGUGUUUGAGAUGGUAGAUAUGCCUGUUAUAAAAUGCAAUGACAUCCUUGAUCAAGCACCAUUAUCUACUUUGCUAAUGAAAAUGAAAAAGUAAAAUCAUUUGAAAGUAUGUGGCUUACCUGAUUUUGGAAGAUAAUUCUACUCUCUGGAUUAUCUUUUUGAGAGUGUAUCCAUGUAUUAACACUAAAGAAUAAAGGUCCUUCAUUAAAGCCAUGAACAACAAUCUGCACCAAGUGUAUCUCUUUGUCAAGGAGAUUGGUAAUAAUGAUAGCGCCAGGACGUCCAAAAUUGUGUGGUACAGUGAAAUUUGCAGCAUAUUCAACUAUAUGUGGAUGAUCAGAAGGCUUGG